rnacentral:rRNA from 1 species
UACGUAGGGGGCAAGCGUUGUCCGGAUUUAUUGGGCGUAAAGAGCGUGUAGGCGGCCAGGUAGGUCCGUUGUGAAAACUCGAGGCUCAACCUCGAGACGUCGAUGGAAACCAUCUGGCUAGAGUCCGGAAGAGGAGAGUGGAAUUCCUGGUGUAGCGGUGAAAUGCGCAGAUAUCAGGAAGAACACCCGUGGCGAAAGCGGCUCUCUGGAACGGUACUGACGCUGAGACGCGAAAGCGUGGGGAGCAAACGGG